rnacentral:rRNA from 1 species
UUGCUUCUCUUGAGAGCGGCGGACGGGUGAGUAAUGCCUAGGAAUCUGCCUGGUAGUGGGGGAUAACGUUCGGAAACGGACGCUAAUACCGCAUACGUCCUACGGGAGAAAGCAGGGGACCUUCGGGCCUUGCGCUAUCAGAUGAGCCUAGGUCGGAUUAGCUAGUUGGUGAGGUAAUGGCUCACCAAGGCGACGAUCCGUAACUGGUCUGAGAGGAUGAUCAGUCACACUGGAACUGAGACACGGUCCAGACUC